AUGAAUUCCUCCUUCAUGAUGAACCAGGCCAGCCUGGAAGAUGGUCACCAUGACCUCUUCUGCCUGGCUGACUCGACAGGGAUUAAAUGGAAAAGAUAUGUAUGGCAAGGCCCAACUUCUGCCCCUAUUAUGUUUCCCACGACUCAAGGUGACCCUAAUUUGAACAGCUUUAAUCGCUGCCUUAAGACAGAUAUAGCUGGUGUUUGGCAGCAAGAUCAAAUACCUAGAAGAAGAGAAUUGUCAAUAUUUUGGUGGGGCAAAGACCCCAAUUUUGCUGACCUUAUUUACCAGGAUUUAACAGACGAGGAGGAUGGAGUAUGGGAGAAAAGACUUUACUCUGAAUGCCAUACUCUGCUUUUCAAAGCAGUUCACAGUCUGUUGGGAUGGUGUUUAAUGAACCAGAACUUUGUAUGUAUUGGCAAGUGGUUUGUACAGUCUCAUGAAGAAGAUUAAAAACCUAUAAAUAAAAGUGAAUGAUUGUCCUGCUCUUUCACCUUUUUCUUGCAUGGAGACAUCAAUGUUUGUACCAAUGUGGAAAUUAGCCAACAUCAACCUGUAUACCUUCUUAGUGAAGAUCACAUCACCCUUGCUCAACAGCUUAAUAGCCCAUUUCCAGUUAUCUUAAGCCAAUUUGGACU
rnacentral:lncRNA from 1 species